CGGGUGAGUAACGCGUGGAGAACCUGCCGUAUACUGGGGGAUAACACUUAGAAAUAGGUGCUAAUACCGCAUAAGCGCACAGCUUCGCAUGAAGCAGUGUGAAAAACUCCGGUGGUAUACGAUGGAUCCGCGUCUGAUUAGCUUGUUGGCGGGGUAAAGGCCCACCAAGGCGACGAUCAGUAGCCGGCCUGAGAGGGUGAACGGCCACAUUGGGACUGAGACACGGCCCAAACUCCUACGGAAGGCAGCAG
rnacentral:rRNA from 1 species